AAGCCUUUAAAGCUUCACUUGAAGAUGGGCCUGCGGUGCAUUAGCUAGUUGGUGAGGUAACGGCCCACCAAGGCGACGAUGCAUAGCCGAACUGAGAGGUUAAUCGGCCACAUUGGGACUGAGACACGGCCCAAACUCCUACGGGAGACAGCAGUUAGGAAUAUUCGUCAAUGGGGGAAACCCUGAACGAGCAAUGCCGCGUGAGUGAUGACGGUCCUCUGGAUUGUAAAACUCUGUUGUUUGGAAAGAACUGUAAGAAGAGGAAAUGCUUCUUACUUGACGGUACCAUUCAAGAAAGCCACGGCUAACUACGUGCCAGCAGCCGCGGUAAUACGUAGGGGGCAAGCGUUGUCCGGAAUGACUGGGCGUAAAGGGAGUGUAGGUGGCAUAAUAAGUUAUAUGUGAAAGCCCGCGGCUUAACUGCGGAACUGCAUGUAAAACUGUUAAGCUUGAGUGCAGGAGAGGUAAGCGGAAUUCCUAGUGUAGCGGUGGAAUGCGUAGAUAUUAGGAAGAACACCAGAGGCGAAGGCGGCUUACUGGACUGUAACUGACACUGAGGCUCGAAAGCGUGGGGAGCAAACAGGAUUAGAUACCCUGGUAGUCCACGCCCUAAACGAUGGAUACUAGACGAAGCGGAAUAUAAUCUGCUGUGGUCAAGCAAACGCGAUAAGUAUCCCGCCUGAGGAGUACGGCCGCAAGGGUUGAAACUCAAAGAAAUUGACGGGGACCCGCACAAGCAGCGGAGCAUGUGGUUUAAUUCGACGCAACGCGAAGAACCUUACCAAGACUUGACAUCGUACGCUAUCUGCGGAAACGUGGAGUUUCCCUUCGGGGGACGUGCAGACAGGUGGUGCAUGGUUGUCGUCAGCUCGUGUCGUGAGAUGUUCGGUUAAGUCCGGCAACGAGCGCAACCCUUAUAUCCAGUUGCCAAUAUUAAGUUAGGAACUCUGGAUAGACUGCCGUGGUAAACACGGAGGAAGGUGGGGAUGACGUCAAAUCAUCAUGCCCCUUACGUCUUGGGCCACACACGUGCUACAAUGGGCGCUACAAAGAGCAGCGAGACUGUAAAGUUAAGCAAAUCUCAAAAAGGCGUUCUCAGUUCGGAUUGUGGGCUGAAACCCGCCCACAUGAAGUCGGAGUUGCUAGUAAUCCCGAAUCAGAAUGUCGGGGUGAAUGCGUAACCGGGUCUUGCACUCACCGCCCGUCA
rnacentral:rRNA from 1 species